CCCCAUUAUUGGGGUCCCCCUUUAUAGGGCCAUGGGGUGACCCCAAUUUAGGGUCCCCCAUUAAUGAGAUUUUGGGGUCCCCCACUAUAGGGCUAUAGGGUGACCCCAUAAACUUUGGGCCCCUGUUAUUGGGAUUUUGGGAUCCCCCAUUAUAGGGCUAUGAGGUGACCCCAUAAAAUUUGGGCCCCCAUUAUUGGGGUCCCCCUUUAUAGGGCUAUGGGGUGACCCCAAUUUAGGGUCCUCCCAAUGGGAUUUGGGGUCCCCCAUUACAGAGCUAUGGGGUGACCCCAUAAACUUUGGAUCCCCCAUUAUUGGGGUCCCCCUUUAUAGGGCUAUGGGGUGACCCCAAUUUAGGGGUCCUCCCAAUGGGAUUUGGGGUCCCCCAUUACAGAGCUAUGGGGUGACCCCAUAAACUUUGGGCCCCCAUUAUUGGGGUUCCCCAUGACAGGGCUAUAGGCUGACCCCAUAACCUUUGGACCCCCG
rnacentral:lncRNA from 1 species